rnacentral:lncRNA from 1 species
UCUGACGCGCCGCGGAUCCAAAGGCUCGCCGCGCCGUCACUCCGGUACGGUCGUCUUGUUUCCAUCGCUCCCACCGUACUCGGUCGCAAGUCGUUAGCCGAAACCAGGGGAAAAGGCCGGCGUCACGUCCGAGCCCUACGUGCAUCUCGGAGCUCUCUAUAAAUUCUCCCCCAUCCCUCCCCCUUCCGCCAUUCCAAAGCCGCUGCCCAUCGACGGCGAGCCAAUGGCGUCGUCGCCCGGCGGUGGGUGGGGCGUCUCAUCUCUUUCCAGCCCCGCACUCCUCAUCAGGUACUCACCGCUGCCCGCAUUCGCUUUCUUUCCUCUUUCCUCCUCUUUCUCAUUGAUCGUUUCGCUUCUUACCCCAAUGCCUUUUCUUUCGAUUCUUGGAAUGAGAGGU